rnacentral:rRNA from 1 species
AUUGAACGCUGGCGGCAGGCCUAACACAUGCAAGUCGAACGGUAGCACAGAGAGCUUGCUCUCGGGUGACGAGUGGCGGACGGGUGAGUAAUGUCUGGGAAACUGCCCGAUGGAGGGGGAUAACUACUGGAAACGGUAGCUAAUACCUCAUAAUGUCGCAAGACCAAAGAGGGGGACCUUCGGGCCUCUUGCCAUCGGAUGUGCCCAGAUGGGAUUAGCUUGUUGGUGAGGUAAUGGCCCACCAAGGCGACGAUCCCUAGCUGGUCUGAGAGGAUGACCAGCCACACUGGAACUGAGACACGGUCCAGACUCCUACGGGAGGCAGCAGUGGGGAAUAUUGCACAAUGGGCGCAAGCCUGAUGCAGCCAUGCCGCGUGUGUGAAGAAGGCCUUCGGGUUGUAAAGCACUUUCAGCGGGGAGGAAGGCAAUGCGGUUAAUAACCGUGUUGAUUGACGUUACCCGCAGAAGAAGCACCGGCUAACUCCGUG